rnacentral:rRNA from 1 species
UGGGGAAUCUUCCGCAAUGGACGAAAGUCUGACGGAGCAACGCCGCGUGAGUGAUGACGGCCUUCGGGUUGUAAAGCUCUGUUAAUCGGGACGAAAGGCCUUCUUGCGAAUAGUUAGAAGGAUUGACGGUACCGGAAUAGAAAGCCACGGCUAACUACGUGCCAGCAGCCGCGGUAAUACGUAGGUGGCAAGCGUUGUCCGGAAUUAUUGGGCGUAAAGCGCGCGCAGGCGGAUUGGUCAGUCUGUCUUAAAAGUUCGGGGCUUAACCCCGUGAUGGGAUGGAAACUGCCAAUCUAGAGUAUCGGAGAGGAAAGUGGAAUUCCUAGUGUAGCGGUGAAAUGCGUAGAUAUUAGGAAGAACACCAGUGGCGAAGGCGACUUUCUGGACGAAAACUGACGCUGAGGCGCGAAAGCCAGGGGAGCGAACGGGAUUAGAUACCCCGGUAGUCCUGGCCGUAAACGAUGGGUACUAGGUGUAGGAGGUAUCGACCCCUUCUGUGCCGGAGUUAACGCAAUAAGUACCCCGCCUGGGGAGUACGACCGCAAGGUUG